rnacentral:rRNA from 1 species
GACGAACGCUGGCGGCGUGCUUAACACAUGCAAGUCGAACGAAGAGCGACGGAAUCUUGCUUCUAUCAAUCUUAGUGGCGAACGGGUGAGUAACGCGUAAUCAACCUGCCCUUCAGAGGGGGACAACAGUUGGAAACGACUGCUAAUACCGCAUACGAUCUAACCUCGGCAUCGAGGAUAGAUGAAAGGUGGCCUCUACAUGUAAGCUAUCACUGAAGGAGGGGAUUGCGUCUGAUUAGCUAGUUGGAGGGGUAACGGCCCACCAAGGCGAUGAUCAGUAGCCGGUCUGAGAGGAUGAACGGCCACAUUGGGACUGAGACACGGCCCAGACUCCUACGGGAGGCAGCAGUGGGGAAUCUUCCGCAAUGGACGAAAGUCUGACGGAGCAACGCCGCGUGAGUGAUGACGGCCUUCGGGUUGUAAAGCUCUGUUAAUCGGGACGAAAGGCCUUCUUGCGAAUAGUGAGAAGGAUUGACGGUACCGGAAUAGAAAGCCACGGCUAACUACGUG